AUAAAAUUAGACUUCCUUCCCUCCAUAUAUAUCUAUCUAUCUAUAUUUAUCCAGCCCGAGUAUUUCCAAUGUCAUUUUUGCAAAUUAGAGCAGGACAAAUUUUACAUUUCCAGGGCACAUCUGUUGUAAUGCGAAGCAUUAUUUGGCAAGCAGUUCAUCACCAAGGCAGUAGCUAUGAUUCUAGAAGCUAAGAGGUGUCUAUAGAGCUAGAGGGGGCUUCUGCAUGUGAAAUGCUGUAAUUCGUAGGCGUUAAAAGUGCUGAAUGGGCAGUCUGACCCCCACGUGGGCACCUGCACUACCAAUUGUUAGAGGAAAUUCACUCCCUCCUAGUGAGAGUUGAAAGGUCAAAUUAUUUUGAGGUAAUUCUUUUUUUUUAAAGUUUUCUGUUAACAGGAAAAUUUAUUUAUUUGACAGGAUUUUAAGUAAUGUAGAGAUACAAAUGGUAAAUUAGCAGCACAUAUAAUUUUUUUUAAAUUUAUGAUCCAUUUUGUAUGGUCUCAAGUUGGAUGACCUCAUUACUAAUAUUUGUUGUAAAAGUGAAACUUGUUUGCCGACCAAUAAACAACUGAUUGAGAUUUAGAAGAGAUGGCUUUGACAACUUGAAAGAGGUAGCCUUCCCAUUUCUACCGGGAACAACCUGAAGAAAGAUCACUUGAAUACAUCAACUGGUAUCCAAGGCCUCUGCCUACUGUGCGCUAACGUUGCUCUUGCAUCAAGACGAAAGGGCCAUUGGCGACCUCUCCUCUCAUACAUCAUAACUGCCGUGCUUCAGAGAGUUAAUCCUGUGGGAAUCAGACCAACAUCAUUUAAAAGGACAAUUAAUAGAAUCAAUAUGCAGGGAGAUCUUAUACUAUGCAACAGCAGAAUGUUCUCCUCACCUUGAAAAACCUUUGCUAUGCGACUCUAAUUAAACAGAAGAAACAGUAGGUAACGUACGUGACUGUGUCUCAUUUCAGUAGAAGUGUGUAUAUUCAUUUAGUCCUGAUUAUACCACCUACAUUAUAGUUCCUGACCCUUGC
rnacentral:lncRNA from 1 species